rnacentral:rRNA from 1 species
AAGCAUGUAACCGAAGCUUGGGAUUACGCUUUUGCGUAGUGGUAGGGGAGCGUCGUGUACGGGGCGAAGUCGCACCGGAAGGAGCGGUGGACUGUACACGAGUGAGAAUGCCGGAAUGAGUAGCGAGAAUUAUGUGAGAAUCAUAAUGGCCGAAAAUCUAAGGUUUCUUGGGGAAGGUUCGUCCGCCCAAGGUAAGCCGGGAGCUAAGGCGAGGCCGAAAGGCGUAGUCGAUGCACAUACGGUUGAAAUUCCGUAGCCACCUUAUCGAUUAAAAGCUGACACAUGGAGAUAGCGGGACCCGGGCGUUGGUUGACCCGGGCGAAAGGGACCGAAAUCAAGUAGGGAAGUCCGCGAUGCUCUGUGGCGAGAAAAGGCGAAGGUAAGGUGCCCGUACCGCAAACCGACACAGGUAGAUGAGGAGAGAAUCCUAAGGCCAACGGGAGAAAGGUUGUUAAGGAACUCGGCAAAAUUGCCCCGUAACUUCGGGAGAAGGGGCGCCUCCGAAAGGAGGCCGCAGUGAAAAGGCCCAAGCGACUGUUUACCAAAAACACAGGUCUCUGCUAAAUCGAAAGAUGACGUAUAGGGGCUGACGCCUGCCCGGUGCUGGAAGGUUAAGAGGAGAGCUUAGCGCAAGCGAAGGCUUGAAUUUAAGCCCCAGUAAACGGCGGCCGUAACGAUAACGGUCCUAAGGUAGCGAAAUUCCUUGUCAGGUAAGUUCUGACCCGCACGAAUGGCGUAACGAUUUGGGCGCUGUCUCAACAGCCUACCCGGCGAAAUUGUAGUACCGGUGAGGAUGCCGGUUACCCGCAACUAGACGGAAAGACCCCAUGGAGCUUUACUGCAGCUUAAUACUGAGAUUCGGUAAUUCAUGUACAGGAUAGGUGGGAGACUUGGAAACAGGGGCGUCAGCUUCUGCGGAGUCACCCUUGGGAUACCACCCUUGGAUUGCUGGGUUUCUAACCUGCGGCCAUGAAUCUGGUCGGGGGACACUGUUAGGCGGGCAGUUUGACUGGGGCGGUCGCCUCCUAAAAAGUAGCGGAGGCGCUCAAAGCUUGGCUCAGCAUGGAUGGAAAUCAUGCAAUGAGUGUAAACGUAUAAGCCAAGUUGACUGCGAGACCGACGGGUCGAGCAGGGACGAAAGUCGGAGUUAGUGAUCCGGUGGUAUGUGAGUGGAAAUGCCAUCGCUCAACGGAUAAAAGCUACCCUGGGAUAACAGGCUGAUCUCCCCCAAGCGUCCACAGCGACGGGGAGGUUUGGCACCUCGAUGUCGGCUCGUCGCAUCCUGGGGCUGUAUUCGGUCCCAAGGGUUUGGCUGUUCGCCAAUUAAAGCGGCACGCGAGCUGGGUUCAGAACGUCGUGAGACAGUUCGGUCCCUAUCUGUUGCGGGCGUAAGAGAUUUGAAGGGAGCUGUCCUUAGUACGAGAGGACCGGGAUGGACUGACCUCUGGUGCACCAGUUGUUCUGCCAAGGGCAUAGCUGGGUAGCUACGUCGGGACGAGAUAAACGCUGAAGGCAUCUAAGCGUGAAACUCCCCCUAAGAUAAGAUCUCUCAUCCUGAAAAGGAGUAAGGCUCGUCGUAGACUAUGACGUUGAUAGGUCAGGGGUGGAAGCACAGUAAUGUGUGCAGCUGACUGAUACUAAUAAGCCGAGGGCUUGAUC